AGCGAACGCUGGCGGCAGGCCUAACACAUGCAAGUCGAACGAACCUUUCGGGGUUAGUGGCGGACGGGUGAGUAACACGUGGGAACGUGCCUUUAGGUUCGGAAUAACUCAGGUAAACUUGUGCUAAUACCGAAUGUGCCCUUCUGGGGAAAGAUUUAUCGCCUUUAGAGCGGCCCGCGUUUGAUUAGCUAGUUGGUUGAGGUAAUGGCUCACCAAGGCGACGAUCAGUAGCUGGUCUGAGAGGAUGAUCAGCCACAUUGGGACUGAGACACGGCCCAAAAUCCUACGGGAGGCAGCAGUGGGGAAUCUUGCGCAAUGGGCGAAAGCCUGACGCAGCUAUGCCGCGUGAAUGAUGAAGGUCUUAGGAUUGUAAAAUUCUUUCACCGGGGACGAUAAUGACGGUACCCGGAGAAGAAGCCCCGGCUAACUUCGUG
rnacentral:rRNA from 1 species